AGAGCGAACGCUGGCGGCAGGCCUAACACAUGCAAGUCGAGCGCCCCGCAAGGGGAGCGGCAGACGGGAGAGUAACACGUGGGAACGUACCCUUCAGUUCGGAACAACCCAGGGAAACUUGGGCUAAUACCGAAUACGUCCGUAAGGAGAAAGAUUUAUCGCUGAAGGAUCGGCCCGCGUCUGAUUAGCUUGUUGGUGAGGUAACGGCUCACCAAGGCGACGAUCAGUAGCUGGUCUGAGAGGAUGAUCAGCCUCACUGGGACUGAGACACGGCCCAGACUCCUACGGGAGGCAGCAGUGGGGAAUAUGGACAAUGGGCGCAAGCCUGAUCCAGCCAUGCCGCGUGGGUGAUGAAGGCCCUAGGGUUGUAAAGCCCUUUCGGCGGGGAAGAUAAUGACGGUACCCGCAGAAGAACGCCCCGGCUAACUUCGCGCCAGCAGCCGC
rnacentral:rRNA from 1 species